UAGCCCGGCGAAAGCCGGAUUAAUACCGCAUACGACCUACGGGUGAAAGGGGGGGAUCGCAAGACCUCUCGCUAUUGGAGCGGCCGAUGUCAGAUUAGGUAGUUGGUGGGGUAAAGGCCUACCAAGCCGACGAUCUGUAGCUGGUCUGAGAGGACGACCAGCCACACUGGGACUGAGACACGGCCCAGACUCCUACGGGAGGCAGCAGUGGGGAAUUUUGGACAAUGGGCGCAAGCCUGAUCCAGCCAUGCCGCGUGCGGGAAGAAGGCCUUCGGGUUGUAAACCGCUUUUGUCAGGGAAGAAAUCUUCUGGGUUAAUACCUCGGGAGGAUGACGGUACCUGAAGAAUAAGCACCGGCUAACUACGUGCCAGCAGCCGCGGUAAUACGUAGGGUGCAAGCGUUAAUCGGAAUUACUGGGCGUAAAGCGUGCGCAGGCGGUUUUGUAAGACAGAGGUGAAAUCCCCGGGCUUAACCUGGGAACUGCCUUUUGUGACUGCAAAGCUUGAGUGCGGCAGAGGGGGU
rnacentral:rRNA from 1 species